GACGAACGCUGGCGGCGUGCUUAACACAUGCAAGUCGAACGGAAAGGCCCUGCUUUUGUGGGGUGCUCGAGCGGCGAACGGGUGAGUAACACGUGAGUAACCUGCCCCUGACUUUGGGAUAACUUCAGGAAACUGGGGCUAAUACCGGAUAGGAGCUCCUGCUGCAUGGUGGGGGUUGGAAAGUUUCGGCGGUUGGGGAUGGACUCGCGGCUUAUCAGCUUGUUGGUGGGGUAGUGGCUUACCAAGGCUUUGACGGGUAGCCGGCCUGAGAGGGUGACCGGCCACAUUGGGACUGAGAUACGGCCCAGACUCCUACGGGAGGCAGCAGUGGGGAAUAUUGCACAAUGGGCGGAAGCCUGAUGCAGCAACGCCGCGUGCGGGAUGACGGCCUUCGGGUUGUAAACCGCUUUCGCCUGUGACGAAGCGUGAGUGACGGUAAUGGGUAAAGAAGCACCGGCUAACUACGUG
rnacentral:rRNA from 1 species